UUUUUUUUUUUUGGAAUUGGUUUCCAGUUAGGAGAUUGUCUCAAAUGAAAGCAAUACAGAUCUGAGUGGAAUUUUUAAAAAGCUGUAUUUCCAGAGACACUUUAAGUCUGGCAGAAUGGCAUGGGAUUGCUUAACAGUUGAGUACCAUUUAACUAUGUUAACAUUUAUGACUGUGCCAAUACUGGGCAAGGGUUAUUCCCCGGCAAGAGGACCUGAAGCUGUGGCACUCAGUCUGGCUACACAAAGAACUUGCUUUAUUUCAUGGGAAGUGAGUUGCCACUAAAUCUCCCAGGCAGAAUGGGCUCUGUACUUAGUACCAUUGACAACUUACACCUUGAUUCUCUCCUUCUCCUUUUCUAAAUGUAGUGGUUCCUCCAUUCCUGUUUGCUAAAUGUGUCUGUUAUUAUACAGUCUAUUUGUUACAGAGUUUUAUACAUGAAGUAUCAAGACAUUAUGGUGUCAUUAUUUUCACCUGCCACUUUAACCCCACAGCUAUUUUUACUGAGACAUUGGGAAAAUUAGAUUCAUUAGAGAUAAUCUAAGCAAAAUAAAGGUGAAAAUAAAAAAAAUUGUAUACGGUAAAACCUUUACACUUGGUGGCAAUAUUUAAAACUGUGAAAAUGGAUUCUAGGAAGAUGGGAAGAUGCCAGGGUAAGUCAACACUUAAAUAAGCCAAGUAGUACCACUGAAGCCUUGAGUUUCCUGGAGAAGAGAGCAAGUGUGAGGAUUCAUUUAUCUUGGGGAAGGGAGAAGAACAGAGGUCCCAACAGGUCUGAAGCUAAUAUAUAGCAGAUUCCUUGGCCACUGGAGACUGCCCAGCCACAUAUGCCGGUGGAGCUUCGAUCAUCCAAAGAAGAGCACGUCUGCCAAGGUCUCACACAGUCCUUCAGGAGGUUGCCUCAUGCGGCUGGUAGGCAGUCCUGGGAGGGUAGGGGUGAUGCAAUAGGUAGGACAAAAUGCUACAAGUUUUUAUAUUUUAGAAGGAACUUUGUCCCCCUUGGACCUAGAGAGUCUUAGGUCCUGGUCUUAUACCUGUCCCAGUGAAGAGGUUCUGGUAUGCUAGGGUGUAAUCACUAGCUCACCAGACAAAAUUGCCAUUGCACCCACAAACCUCCAGUUUACCAGUGCUCAAGAAAACCUCAAACCUGGCCUGUUCUUGUGUGGCAAAAUCUACAUUACAAGGAAGUCAAAGAAAAAUUGCUACCUAUUUCAUGUACUCUUAAACUUGUGGGAGGGAGGUCAAGCUUGAACAGGUAGCUACUAUUAAGGAAGAGCUAAUGAAUGAGACAGAGGAGAAUGUUAGUUUCAAUGUAAUGAGUAUUCUCAAAGAGAUACAAUUAGAAAAUAAAAAUAAUAAUUACUUGAACUAACAAUAAUGAUUUUCACAGUUCUAAAAUCAAAGAGAGGAGGUAAAAAAAAAAGAGAGUAGCUACUGCUGAGACCUGAAUUAACUGUCUGGAUGACCAAAAUAAAGGGACAAAGAAGGAAAUUAGUGAUAAAAUAAGUGAUUUAGAGGAAGAUCUAGGUGACAUAACAUGCAAAGAGAAGUAGUUCCAGAUGGGGAAAACUUCAGCUUCUAUCAAAUAGAAGUCAUAAUCAUGGAAAUAACAGAAUAAAAAUUCUGUUGAAGAAAGGCUUGUGCCUUUUGACUGAAUGGGCUCACUAAGACUCAGACAGGAUUAAUUUUACAAAAAGCCACACACCUAGACAUAAUCAGGGAAAAUGUCUGACCUCCAAUGCUAAUGAAAAAAAUUCUUUCUUCUACUCAGAACAAAAAAUAGUUUUCUUACAAAAGAAAGAUUAUGCGACUAUGUUAUUAAAAGAAAAUGACUGUCGCCCAAGAAUCUUUAUACCAGCCAAUCAAUAUAAUAAUCAAAUGUUAAGAAAAAAGGCACAAUGGUUUUCAACAAUCAAGAAUUCAGAAAAUAUGCCACCCAUGUACUGAUAUCUUAUCUGAAGAAAAUACUCAAGGAAGUACUCCCAAUCUCAUAAAAUUUCUACCAGAAGCAAAUCUCUUCUUUACAAGAAGAGCAAAGCACAAUGCAGUGUUAAUACAGUGAAUAAACAGUGUUAACUUGUUUUAGUUUAUGUGAUGAUAAUUCUAUAACUAAGACAGAAUAGAAAUUAUAAGACAGUGUUCUUAAAAUUUAUGUUUGUGUGUGUGUUUAAUUAAAACCCGUAACAAAGAGCUUUCAGCUACUCAGAAAAAUCCAAAAAUUGUGGAGAAAAGAAGGAAGAGGAAGUAAGGUAGAAAGGAGUUUAAAAGUCUCUAAAAAGGUACAGGGAGUAGAGAUUCAGGAGUAAAAUGGGCAAGUAGGCUGUCUUAGUGUGAUCAUUGUCAUUACUGAACUGGAUAUACUAAGCGAGAAAUAUUGUUUCACAUAUUAUUGUGAAUAGCAGAAGAAUGCAAUUUCCAAAUUAAGAGACUUUUAAAAAAGGAAAAACACCCAACAAAGUAAAUAAACAGUAAACACAAAAUAUUAUAAUAAUAAGUAAAUAGGUCAUUUACCACUAUAUAUGUUAAUGGAAUGAAUUAUGAAAAUAGAGAAAAGAAAAAAAGAAUGCAGGAAUGGAAAUAUUAAUGUUAAGAAAACAAUGAAAACUCAGGUCAAAAGCACUAAUAAAGAUAAUUAGUGAUAUAAUGAUUACAGGAAUAAUUCUCAAAGCUAUAUGCAUAAACUAUAUAUCAAACAAGAAAAGACAUAUAGGGAAAAAGUGGGAAAUGAUAUAAAAACACAACGAUGGCCAGGCAUGGUGGCUCUGCACUUUGGGAGGCCAAGGUAGGAGGGCCACUUUAGCCCAGGAGUUCAAGACCAGCCUGGGCAACAUAGGGAGACUCUGUCUCCACAAAAAAAGUAAGAAUAAAUUAGCUAGGUGUUGUGAUGUGUGCCUGUGGUCCCAGCUACUUUCGGGAGGCUGAGGUGGGAGGAUCCCUUCAGCCCAGGAAGUUGAGGCUGCAGUGAGCUGUGAGCACGCCACUGCACUCCAGCUUGAGCAACAGAGUGAGACCCUAUCUCAAAAAAUAAAAGAAAAUAAAAACACAACAAUGGGAAAUUUUAAUAGGUAUCUGUUAGAUUUUGACUGAUCAGUCAGAUUGAAAACAGUAAAUACGUAGAUAAGUUGAGUGAUACAAUUAACUUGCUUGAUUUAAUAGAUAAUUGUGAAAUUAUGUAGCAACAUACAUAGCACAUGUAUUUUUCUCAUAUACUCAUGUGAAUUACUUGACAUACAGUUGGCCACAAGAAUACCUUGGCAAUUUCCCCCAAAAUAGCUGUUUUAUACAUUGGGUUCUUUGACUAGAAUUUAAUAAAUCUAAAUCUAAACCAACAGAUGACCUACCUCACCCCUUUAUCAACUGCUUAUAUUUGCAGGAAAGUGACAGUAAAGGCUAGUUACCAAGAGAAAUUGAAGGAGGAGUACCAUGACAUUAGGUCCUUGUCUCUGGUCUUCCCCCAUGUCAGGAGUACUGCCAUUCCUAUGGUUUGGCUCUGAGUCAACAAUUUCUCUUACUGGGCUUAGGCUAGUUUGCCUUCCUUUCUGUUUCAUAGCAAAAGGAGCUGAUUAACACAGGGUUCUCUCUUUUUCUCUCCCUCUGUCUCUGUCUCUCACUACAUAUACAUGCGGACAUGUAUAUUGAAUUCAUACAAAUACCUUCAAUUACAUCAAGUUGAAUUGCAAAGCCCCUAAUUUACUGCAGAUAUGCUUAGAUUGAUAUUUCUAUGCACAAGACUUGACAAGUAAAAUUUUUUCUCAUGAAUCCUUCUCUCUCCUAAAGUAAUAUAAUUUAAGGAACAGAUCUCCUGAACACAGGAUAUACAUAGGAACCCAUGGAAUUUUCAUCUCUCUAAGUUCUUUUACUGAACAGAGACCACACCAUUAAAGAGGAACAUUUUGAGUUCUCUAGGUUAGCAUAUUAAAAAGGUGAAAUUUACAUUAAAAACUUUUUAGUUUUACCUUACCAAAUUAAGGAUCCUUAUUUCCUUUAUGUCAAAGCAGAUAAUCACGAAGACCUGACAUCUAUGGGGGUCUGAUCCAAGCAGGGCUGUGGUCAUUGCUCCCUGGACACUGCAUUGCAUAUGAGAUAGAGGGUCUGCUAAGCCAGCUGCUGAAGGAAGACUUUAUUUCCCAGGGGAAAUUCUAGCACAUCUGGGGCACUGUGGUCCUCACACUUGGUUUGGAUUCUCUUCCUGAUGACGGACGUCUGCUUUCUGGCAAGGAUGAAGACGCCAAGGCAAUGACACCUGACAGUCAUAUAGCUGAUAAGGAACAGCGCCAGGACCCAGAGCCAGGCAGUGUGACUGAGCAAGAGUCUGUGCUUUUAACGACUAGGUUUUGCUAGCCCAAAGCACAUACUUGAUACACACUAUAAACACCAUGAAAGCUGGAGCUGCUCUGCAUUAGUCAUCAUCUAUCUACAGUAACUAGCAUGGUAUUUGGCACGUAUCAAAGACUGAAAGAAUAAAUGAAUGAGGUCACCAGAGGUUUAGGAGCAAGGGGUUGCAUUAUCAGCUAACCCUUUUAAGAAGAUUAAGUAGAAAUGGAUACCAUAAGUUAGAGAAGUGAAAAAUAAACAAUUGAAAACUGCUGGCGAUUAUAUGAGUAAGAGUGAAGAGUGAUUAGGGCUGAUGAAGGUAUCUGUCUUGGUGAUGAAAAAAUAAUCAGAUAUUAAAAUACACAGGACUAGUCAACUAGAGAAGCAAUUAAAAAGAAGGAAGCAAAAGAUCUGAGACUCUGAAUCAAAGCCACUGAGAAAUUCGCAGACCAUUAGUCACAAAAAGGUUGAACAACGUUCCGAAAUAUGGAAGCCAGAAGAAACAGCAAUUUUGAAUAGAUUCCUUAGAGAGAGGAACAAAGAGAAGAAAGUAAAAGUAGAUGAUGGAUAGAGAAGGAAAAUUAAGCAUGCCAAAUUAUUGUUCAUUGAGUUUAGGAUUCAAUUUUUUUCGUCUAGUGAAACUACAGCUUUUCAGAAUUGGGGAGAAAAAUGUAAGAAUGCUUGUUCCAUGGCCUUUUCCCUAGGGGCUAAAAAAGUGAGAAGUCAUACUCCAAGCUUCAUUUGCAAGUAUAAAAGGGGCACCAUGUAAUUACACAGCUUCAGUUAGAGAUGCUUUCCGCCCUUUCCAAGUGAUCUAAGAGCUCAGGGAUGCUAUGCCCUAUUCUCCAGUUAGAAAAAAGAUCAGGGAGAACUAUCAAAGAGGGCACCAGAUCUUCCAGGACUAGACCUAAUACCUCUUGGUGUAGGCAUUCCUUGCAAAAAAAAAAAAAAAAAAAAAAAAAAAAAAAAAAAAAA